rnacentral:rRNA from 1 species
GGGUUGUGAGGUUAAGCGACUAAGCGUACACGGUGGAUGCCCUGGCAGUCAGAGGCGAUGAAGGACGUGCUAAUCUGCGAUAAGCGUCGGUGAGGUGAUAUGAACCGUUAUAACCGGCGAUUUCCGAAUGGGGAAACCCAGUGUGUUUCGACACACUAUCAUUAACUGAAUCCAUAGGUUAAUGAGGCGAACCGGGGGAACUGAAACAUCUAAGUACCCCGAGGAAAAGAAAUCAACCGAGAUUCCCCCAGUAGCGGCGAGCGAACGGGGAGGAGCCCAGAGCCUGAAUCAGUGUGUGUGUUAGUGGAAGCGUCUGGAAAGGCGCGCGAUACAGGGUGACAGCCCCGUACACAAAAAUGCACAUAUUGUGAGCUCGAUGAGUAGGGCGGGACACGUGGUAUCCUGUCUGAAUAUGGGGGGACCAUCCUCCAAGGCUAAAUACUCCUGACUGACCGAUAGUGAACCAGUACCGUGAGGGAAAGGCGAAAAGAACCCCGGCGAGGGGAGUGAAAAAGAACCUGAAACCGUGUACGUACAAGCAGUGGGAGCCUCUUAAUGGGGUGACUGCGUACCUUUUGUAUAAUGGGUCAGCGACUUAUAUUCUGUAGCAAGGUUAACCGAAUAGGGGAGCCGAAGGGAAACCGAGUCUUAACUGGGCGUUAAGUUGCAGGGUAUAGACCCGAAACCCGGUGAUCUAGCCAUGGGCAGGUUGAAGGUUGGGUAACACUAACUGGAGGACCGAACCGACUAAUGUUGAAAAAUUAGCGGAUGACUUGUGGCUGGGGGUGAAAGGCCAAUCAAACCGGGAGAUAGCUGGUUCUCCCCGAAAGCUAUUUAGGUAGCGCCUCGUGAAUUCAUCUCCGGGGGUAGAGCACUGUUUCGGCAAGGGGGUCAUCCCGACUUACCAACCCGAUGCAAACUGCGAAUACCGGAGAAUGUUAUCACGGGAGACACACGGCGGGUGCUAACGUCCGUCGUGAAGAGGGAAACAACCCAGACCGCCAGCUAAGGUCCCAAAGUCAUGGUUAAGUGGGAAACGAUGUGGGAAGGCCCAGACAGCCAGGAUGUUGGCUUAGAAGCAGCCAUCAUUUAAAGAAAGCGUAAUAGCUCACUGGUCGAGUCGGCCUGCGCGGAAGAUGUAACGGGGCUAAACCAUGCACCGAAGCUGCGGCAGCGACACUAUGUGUUGUUGGGUAGGGGAGCGUUCUGUAAGCCUGUGAAGGUGGCCUGUGAGGGUUGCUGGAGGUAUCAGAAGUGCGAAUGCUGACAUAAGUAACGAUAAAGCGGGUGAAAAGCCCGCUCGCCGGAAGACCAAGGGUUCCUGUCCAACGUUAAUCGGGGCAGGGUGAGUCGACCCCUAAGGCGAGGCCGAAAGGCGUAGUCGAUGGGAAACAGGUUAAUAUUCCUGUACUUGGUGUUACUGCGAAGGGGGGACGGAGAAGGCUAUGUUGGCCGGGCGACGGUUGUCCCGGUUUAAGCGUGUAGGCUGGUUUUCCAGGCAAAUCCGGAAAAUCAAGGCUGAGGCGUGAUGACGAGGCACUACGGUGCUGAAGUGACAAAUGCCCUGCUUCCAGGAAAAGCCUCUAAGCAUCAGGUAACAUCAAAUCGUACCCCAAACCGACACAGGUGGUCAGGUAGAGAAUACCAAGGCGCUUGAGAGAACUCGGGUGAAGGAACUAGGCAAAAUGGUGCCGUAACUUCGGGAGAAGGCACGCUGAUAUGUAGGUGAAGCGACUUGCUCGUGGAGCUGAAAUCAGUCGAAGAUACCAGCUGGCUGCAACUGUUUAUUAAAAACACAGCACUGUGCAAACACGAAAGUGGACGUAUACGGUGUGACGCCUGCCCGGUGCCGGAAGGUUAAUUGAUGGGGUUAGCGGUAACGCGAAGCUCUUGAUCGAAGCCCCGGUAAACGGCGGCCGUAACUAUAACGGUCCUAAGGUAGCGAAAUUCCUUGUCGGGUAAGUUCCGACCUGCACGAAUGGCGUAAUGAUGGUCAGGCUGUCUCCACCCGAGACUCAGUGAAAUUGAACUCGCUGUGAAGAUGCAGUGUACCCGCGGCAAGACGGAAAGACCCCGUGAACCUUUACUAUAGCUUGACACUGAACAUUGAGCCUUGAUGUGUAGGAUAGGUGGGAGGCUUUGAAGUGUGGACGCCAGUCUGCAUGGAGCCGACCUUGAAAUACCACCCUUUAAUGUUUGAUGUUCUAACGUUGGCCCGUAAUCCGGGUUGCGGACAGUGUCUGGUGGGUAGUUUGACUGGGGCGGUCUCCUCCUAAAGAGUAACGGAGGAGCACGAAGGUUGGCUAAUCCUGGUCGGACAUCAGGAGGUUAGUGCAAUGGCAUAAGCCAGCUUGACUGCGAGCGUGACGGCGCGAGCAGGUGCGAAAGCAGGUCAUAGUGAUCCGGUGGUUCUGAAUGGAAGGGCCAUCGCUCAACGGAUAAAAGGUACUCCGGGGAUAACAGGCUGAUACCGCCCAAGAGUUCAUAUCGACGGCGGUGUUUGGCACCUCGAUGUCGGCUCAUCACAUCCUGGGGCUGAAGUAGGUCCCAAGGGUAUGGCUGUUCGCCAUUUAAAGUGGUACGCGAGCUGGGUUUAGAACGUCGUGAGACAGUUCGGUCCCUAUCUGCCGUGGGCGCUGGAGAACUGAGGGGGGCUGCUCCUAGUACGAGAGGACCGGAGUGGACGCAUCACUGGUGUUCGGGUUGUCAUGCCAAUGGCACUGCCCGGUAGCUAAAUGCGGAAGAGAUAAGUGCUGAAAGCAUCUAAGCACGAAACUUGCCCCGAGAUGAGUUCUCCCUGACUCCUUGAGAGUCCUGAAGGAACGUUGAAGACGACGACGUUGAUAGGCCGGGUGUGUAAGCGCAGCGAUGCGUUGAGCUAACCGGUACUAAUGAACCGUGAGGCUUAACCUUACAACGCCGAAG